rnacentral:misc_RNA from 1 species
GAUGAAGAACGUAGCGAAAUGCGAUACUUGGUGUGAAUUGCAGAAUCCCGUGAACCAUCGAGUCUUUGAACGCAAGUUGCGCCCGAAGCCAUCAGGUUGAGGGCACGUCUGCCUGGGCGUCACAUAUCGUUGCCCAAUGCCUAUUGCAGUGCAAUAGGAAUUUCUAGGGCGAAUGAUGGCUUCCCGUGAGCGUUGUUGCCUCGCGGUUGGUUGAAAAUCGAGUCCUUGGUAGGGUGUGCCAUGGUAGAUGGUGGUCGAGUUAGAACGAUACCGAUCAUGUGCAUGCUCCCCAAAAUAUGGCCUCUAUGACCCACACGCGUCUUUUGACGCUCAUGACGAGACCUCAGGUCAGGCGGGGCUACCCGCUGAAUUUAAGCAUAUCAAUAGCGAGGA